rnacentral:rRNA from 1 species
GAGGAGGAUCAUUCGCAAUGGGCGCAAGCCUGACGGUGCGACGCCGCGUGAGGGAUGAAGGCCUUCGGGUCGUAAACCUCUGUCAGGAGUAGGGAAUGGCGGGGGCGAUAACAUCGCUUCCGCGUGACUAAGGCUCCAAAGGAAGCCACGGCUAACUACGUGCCAGCAGCCGCGGUAAUACGUAGGUGGCGAGCGUUACUCGGAAUCACUGGGCAUAAAGGGCGUGUAGGCGGGUGCGUAAGUCCGGUGUAAAAGCCCUCCGCUCAACGGAGGAAAGCCAUUGGAUACUGCGUGCCUAGAGUGCGGGAGGGGAGAGUGGAACUCCUGGUGGAGCGGUGAAAUGCGUAGAUAUCAGGAGGAACGCCGGUGGCGAAAGCGGCUCUCUGGCCCGUUACUGACGCUGAGGCGCGAAAGCUAGGGGAGCAAACGGGAUUAGAUACCCGAGUAGUCC